rnacentral:rRNA from 1 species
GUGGGGAAUUUUGGACAAUGGGCGCAAGCCUGAUCCAGCCAUGCCGCGUGAGUGAAGAAGGCCUUCGGGUUGUAAAGCUCUUUCGGCGGGGAAGAAAUCGCAUGGGUUAAUACCCUGUGUGGAUGACGGUACCCGAAUAAGAAGCACCGGCUAACUACGUGCCAGCAGCCGCGGUAAUACGUAGGGUGCGAGCGUUAAUCGGAAUUACUGGGCGUAAAGCGUGCGCAGGCGGUUUUGUAAGUCAGAUGUGAAAUCCCCGGGCUCAACCUGGGAACUGCAUUUGAGACUGCAAGGCUAGAGUGUGGCAGAGGGGGGUGGAAUUCCACGUGUAGCAGUGAAAUGCGUAGAGAUGUGGAGGAACACCGAUGGCGAAGGCAGCCCCCUGGGCCAAUACUGACGCUCAUGCACGAAAGCGUGGGGAGCAAACAGGAUUAGAUACCCUUGUAGUCC